rnacentral:rRNA from 1 species
UACGAAGGGUGCAAGCGUUACUCGGAAUUACUGGGCGUAAAGCGCACGUAGGCGGUUCGUUAAGUCAUGUGUGAAAUCCCUCGGCUCAACCGAGGAAUUGCGCCUGAUACUGGCGGGCUAGAGAUCGAUAGGGGUGAGUGGAACUCCAGGUGGAGCGGUGAAAUGCGUAGAUAUCUGGAGGAACACCGGUGGCGAAAGCGGCUCACUGGAUCGAUACUGACGCUGAGGUGCGAAAGCUAGGGUAGCAAACGGG